rnacentral:rRNA from 1 species
AAAAAAAUCGGGUGGGGAUAAGACAUGCGAGUCGAGCGUCUCUAGCUAUGUUGAGACGCGGCAUACGGCUCAGUACCACUUGGCUAACCUACCCUCAGGACGGGGACAAACCCGGGAAACUGGGGCUAAUAUCCGAUAGGCGAGGAUUCCUGGAAUGGUUCUUCACCCAAAGGACAUUGAAAACAUGCUUUCUCUGUCGCCUGGGGAUGGGGCCGCGUCCGAUCAGGUUGUUGGUGAGGUAAUGGCUCACCAAGCCUUUAACCGGUACGGGCCGUGAGAGCGGUAGCCCGGAGAUGGGUACUGAGACAAGGACCCAGGCCCUACGGGGCGCAGCAGUCGCGAAAACUCCGCAAUGCACGAAAGUGUGACGGGGCUACCCCGAGUGCCGUCCGCUGAGGAUGGCUUUUCCUUGGUGUAACUAGCCGGGGGAAUAAGGAGAGGGCAAGACUGGUGUCAGCCGCCGCGGUAAUACCAGCUCUCCGAGUGGUAGGGAUGAUUAUUGGGCUUAAAGCGUCCGUAGCCGGCUUAGCAAGUUUCCUGUUAAAUUCAGCGACCUAAUCGUUGAGCCGCGGGAAAUACUACUAGGCUAGGAGGCGGGAGAGGUCGACGGUACUUCUGGGGUAGGGGUGAAAUCCUAUAAUCCCGGGAGGACCACCAGUGGCGAAGGCUGUCGACUAGAACGCGCUCGACGGUGAGGGACGAAAGCUGGGGGAGCGAACCGGAUUAGAUACCCGGGUAGUCCCAGCUGUAAACGAUGCGGGCUAGGUGUUGGGGUGGCUACGUGCCACUUCAGUGCCGCAGGGAAGCCAUUAAGCCCGCCGCCUGGGGAGUACGGCCGCAAGGCUGAAACUCAAAUGAAUUGACA